AUUGAACGCUGGCGGCAGGCUUAACACAUGCAAGUCGAGCGGGGUGAUGGUGCUUGCACUAUCACUUAGCGGCGGACGGGUGAGUAAUGCUUAGGAAUCUGCCUAUUAGUGGGGGACAACAUCUCGAAAGGGAUGCUAAUACCGCAUACGUCCUACGGGAGAAAGCAGGGGAUCACUUGUGACCUUGUGCUAAUAGAUGAGCCUAAGUCGGAUUAGCUAGUUGGUGGGGUAAAGGCCUACCAAGGCGACGAUCUGUAGCGGGUCUGAGAGGAUGAUCCGCAACACCGGGACUGAGACUCGGCCCAGACUCAUACGGGAGGCAGCAGUGGGGAAUAUUGGACAAUGGGGGGAACCCUGAUCCAGCCAUGCCGCGUGUGUGAAGAAGGCCUUAUGGUUGUAAAGCACUUUAAGCGAGGAGGAGGCUUACCUAGUUAAUACCUGGGAUAAGUGGACGUUACUCGCAGAAUAAGCACCGGCUAACUCUGUGCCAGCCGCCGCCGUAA
rnacentral:rRNA from 1 species